UGGCAUGGGAAAAAAAGUAAAAAAAAGGGGCGAGGGAUGAGACGGAAAGCGUACGCUAUCUGGAGAGACCACGAAAUGGGAAAGCAAUAAAAUUAUCAGAGCGAUCCAUUUCUCGGAGAUCCCAAACAGGGGGGCAAAAAAAAAGCCUAGUUAGAGUUUCCUCAUUUUGAGCUCUUCUCAGCCUCAACACUUAUACUGGUGAAUGAAAUGGUGGAAGCCAUUGCUUUCCAGCAUAAAGCGUAGAAGAGGAAUUAGCUUAAACUUGAUUUCUUCAAGAUUUUUUUAUUGAAUGUAAGGAGGUAGAAAAGAUUGAAAUGGGGUCAUUGCUGAGCUUGCCUGUUAGUAGAGCUCGGGUAGGGGACCUUUCUGAAACUUCUCAAGUUGAAGCCUCCAAGAGGCUGAGGAUGUCACCCAGCUAUCAUGAUGAGAACCCAAGGUUGAUACCCAGCCUCCCUGAUGAAAUCUCGCUUCAGAUCCUAGCAAGACUGCCUAGAAUUUACUACUUGAAUGUGAAAAUGGUUUCUCGGAGGUGGGAAGCUGCCAUAACUGGUCCUGAAAUCUAUCGAUUGAGAAAAGACCUUGGGAUAACUGAAGAAUGGCUUUAUAUACUGACAAAAGUUGAAGGGGAUAAACUUUCAUGGCAUGCUUUGGACCCUUUGUCCAAAACGUGGCAAAGGCUGCCACCGAUUCCCAAUGUUGUUUAUGAGGAUGAAUCUAGGAAAGGAUUUUCUGGAUUUUGCAUGUGGAAUGUGAUGGGUACCAGCAUCAAGAUUGCUGAUGUUAUCAGAGGCUGGCUUGGGCGGAGGGAUGCCUUGGAUCGGAUGCCUUUAUGUGGUUGUGCUAUUGGAUCUGUUGAUGGAUGCCUCUAUGUGUUGGGGGGAUUAUCUAGAGCUUCAGCUAUGAAAUGUGUUUGGCGAUAUGAUCCUUGUAUCAAUUUGUGGCAGGAAGUGAGUUCAAUGACCACUGGAAGGGCCUUUUGUAAGACAAGUCUGUUGAACAAUAAGCUUUAUGUUGUGGGUGGAGUCAGCAGAGAGAGAGGUGGCUUAACUCCUCUACAGUCUGCUGAAGUGUAUGAUCCUGACACUGGUGUUUGGACGCAGGUGCCGAGCAUGCCAUUCUCAAAAGCACAGAUCUUACCUACUGCUUUCUUAGCUGAUUUGCUGAAGCCUAUUGCAACUGGAAUGACUUCGUACAGGGGUAGGUUAUGUGUACCUCAGAGUCUAUAUUCUUGGCCUUUUUUUGUUGAUGUUGGGGGUGAGAUCUAUGACCCUGACUCAAAUGCUUGGGUGGACAUGCCAGCUGGAAUGGGUGAGGGUUGGCCUGCAAAGCAGGCAGGGACAAAGUUGAGUGUUGUAGUAAAUGGGGAAUUAUAUGCUUUGGACCCAUCUAGUUCUUUAGAUAACGGUAAGAUAAAGAUAUAUAAUCAUCAGGAGGAUGCAUGGAAAGUUGUCGUUGGAAAGGUCCCGCUUCAUGAUUUUGCAGAUUCUGAGUCUCCAUAUUUGCUUGCUGGUUUUCUUGGGAAGCUUCAUGUGAUCACAAAAGAUGUCAACAACGACACUGCUGUACUGCAGGCCGACUUACAGAAUCAUAUGUCUCCUUCCUCUUUAACUUCAUCAUCUGCAGCCAACUCAGCAAGUCAAAAUGCUGAUACAUCAUUAGUUGCGGAAACAGAUAUUUGGAAGGUCAUUGCUUCUAAGAAUUUUGGUGCAGCAGAACUUGUCAGCUGCCAGGUCCUUGAUAUUUGACUUACAUAUUAAAGGAGUCAUGCCUUCUAAUAUGGCAUCUAUUAGUUGAGAGCCAGUUAUCAGACUUUCAAAUUACCAGUGGUACUCAAUAGCCAUUAUAAUGGUGACUGUGAUUUGAAUAGAAUGUCUUAUCUACAGGAAUAUUUUUUUUAAAUAAAACAAUUGGGACCUUGCUAAGAUGUAGGGCCUGGCAUGUUGUAGCUAUGACUUACCUGGAACCUGUAGCUGAUGAAAUGCUGUUCUAUUGGUCAUGCGAGGCAGCAUGUGCUAUCGAUCUGCCUUAUAUGUCACUGCACAAGUUGGCUUAUUGGGUAUUUGCAUGUGCUGGUGCCAAAUAAUAUGCAGCUCCAUUGAAAGAUUCUCUACCAUGUUGUACCAGCCGGACCUUGAUGACUGAAAGGGAGUCUUGCAAUCUGUCACGGCCUUGUUUGAUAUGGUAACCCUGCUGUCAGUUGACUUAGCAAGUGAUGAUUGAAAGGAACCUUGAUAGAAUUUUCUUUUAAGAUGUACAGUGUACCCAUCAGAAUACUACAAAGCAGUAUUGCUGUAUAAUGCCCGACCAGUACUAUUUGAAGAAAGUGAAGAUUGAUGAGGAGCGAAAACUUAUAGACAUCAGGCUGAAACGAAUGGUACUUUUAUGCUAAUGGUAAAGAUGAAAUUUAGUUUUAAACUGCACUCUUUUGUUUAUGCUGUAAUCUGGACAUGAUUAUUAUGAGGGAAAUGUGGUGAAUAUUUCCGUUGCUAUUAGGCAUGAACCAAAAGAUAAGCUUAUCACUGCUAGAUAUAAACUGUUAUGAGAUGAUUGAGUUAGAUCAUCUUUCCAAAAUACAUUACAAUUUGUGCUAUAUACUCAUGUUACCUGCAUUUCCUCCUGGAAAGAGAGCAGAAGAUGAACAAAUGUAACACCAAACUGGAAGGGAUAAUAUUAGAAAUAAUUCUUGUUACCCUUGUGCUCAUAUGCGCUGGGAGAGACAUCAAUCACCUUUAUACAACAUAAUGCAGUAUAACAAGAUUUCCUAGCUGGUCAAAUUAACACCCAUGGUUGGUGCAUUCAGUGUGACUGGUCAUGUAAUUUGAUAAAUUGGUGUAUAUUCAACUUUGGUUGAAUACAUAGAGGGGAAAAUUAGCACAACAUGUUGUUAUGCAUUUUGCAAAACCUGCACUAUCUCUAAGCCUAACGUGCUCCUUCCAUGUAUCAUAAAUUGACUUGACCAUUAUUUUCUUUUUCCCCUCUAAAUCAUAUUGGAAUUGUAUUAGGACCUCUUAAACAUAUGUUCUCGUAUGUUUACACAUAGACAUAAUAUAUAUGCAAGAAAAGUUGUGUUUCAGCAAAUGUUAUGGUAGAAUUUUGAAAGCUUUCUUCCCUUAAGGAAAGUUUCCAUUCAUGCCAAAUCUUUAAAAAUCAUUAGUUCAAAAAAUUGAAUUAAAUUCGUCAAGUAUGGUAUUAAGUGUUAAAGCUUUAGAAUAGCUCUCUGUACAUUUCUCCUUAUUAUGUGUAUAUAUAUUUUUUUGAUGGAAGUAUUAUAGGUAUUCAUUGAGUAGCAAAGAUUGCUUUACUUUGGGACAUGCACACACACAGAGAUAGAGAGGCUGCAUGUUGUGAUGGUUGAUGGAUAAUGAGAUAAGCUAUGUAACUUCUAUAUAAUGUUAUCAAUACUGUCAGCAGGGGUAAGGCAAUGGCACUUAUUCAUUUCUAUGCUGAUUCUAGAGGAGAAGCUAUAAAUUUAGAUACUAUUGUAGCAAGUUAUCAACUCUGCAAGAUGAUUUCUUCUCUCAGCGUGAAUCAAAAGACUGCUGACUGUGCACUGUUCAAUGAUCCGCUGUUACUAUUAGGGACUUUGCCUCUAUAGAUAGUAGCCACAGAAUGUUAGCAUAUUGGAAUCUGUGAUAUUUAAUCAUGGUUAAAAUAGUGUAAGGUGCAUCACAAGGCUUCUUAUUAUCCUUGUUUAUUCACCAGCAAGGACUGCAAGGUAUAGCUUCACAACAAAAGGGAUUGCAAGGUAGAGACAUUCAAAGGCUCUUGCAUAUUUCCAUGCCUAUAUUUUAUUAAUAUACAUAAUGUAUGUUUUGGAUUGUUUCAGUUAAUGUAAAUUUAUCUGUAGUUUAGGCUCUCUUUUUCAGCUUGUUCGCGACUUAGUUUAUCGAGGUUCUCGUGUGAGAAUCCUUCUCUUUAUUAUUUGCUUGAGUGGAUGCACUUCCAAGAAAAUAACUUGUUAUUGCAGCACCUGUCCUUCUGGUGUUCCGCACUGUGAAAUACUAUCACUUGCCUAAAAGCCUUUUUUAGCUGUAAUAAUAAUUAGCAUACUACUCCAUGAAUUUUGAAAUUGUGUGAUGCUUGCAUGGUAGAGAUCCUGGAACUUUGAAAUAUGGAAUUAAUGGAAUCAUAGCUCUUGGCUUUUGCUGUUUGAUUCUGUUGGGAGGUUUAGGCUCUGCUGAACAUUGGGGUCCAGGUAUUGGUGGUGGCUUGAUCUUUAUUCUGUUGGGAGGUUUAGGCACCCUGUUUGAAACUAUUUGCUGUCUGAGUCUUUAUUUUGACAUCAGCGAUAGUAAUUUUAUAAUAAGUUAAAUGCUUCCACCAUGUAUUGCAUGGAUACAUGUAUCUGGAAACUGCACCGCAUCAGGCAUAAAGUUCAUGAUGGCACCAUUACUGACCAAAUUUAUACAUGAUUUGAAGAUCCUUGAAGUUGGUUCCAGGCUGAAUCUUUCUAAGUGCCAUUUUUUUGACAGAAUUUGAUAUAAUUUAGUGACUCAAAUUAUCUAUUAUAUCAUGAUUAUCAGUUCUUACUUACAGAAUUCCAACUUAUUUUUUGUGUCUGUACACAUUAUCUUUGCUUGCUUUUCCUCACAAUAUUAAAUUUCAAUAUAAUUUAGUGUGAUUUUACCCCCUCCCAAGUUUCAUGCGGAGCCUGAAACACAAGCUUGUUCUUGGUCCAUGCAUUAUCUCUCGAGUCUCAAUGUUCUUCAAAUUUAUGAACUUGGGUAUUUCGUGCCCUAUCAAGAUAAAUAUGACCCCAUAUUGCAGAUUAUAAUUUUCUUCUGCUUUACAUUGGUAUGAUCAAAUGCUGUAAAUUUUACAGUUAAAAGUUGUAAACAUAUCUGAAGACACAGCUACUGGAUUUUGUAUGUCUCUGAGACCAUGUCCGAGGCUUCGGGAAUUCUUUGGACUAUUCUAAAGUCAGUUUCUUCCACUCUUUAUUGUUUUGAGGCUUGGCCUGAGUCAUUUACUUGUUCUCCAUUUGAAUGUGGAGCCGUGUUCAAAUUGCUUACAGCCACAGCAACAAUAGGUUUUUGGCAUGCUGAUGGAGAGUGAAUUACAUGGGGACAUCAAACAAUUAGGUCAACUCAAAUUUAUAGCGACAAGGGAGGCAGGUGGGCCACAGUCAUCUAUGCAACAUAAAGAAAGAGGAGAAUGAUUUGCCUCUUCUUGAUUGCCCAACCACUUCUUUGUAUAUUCUUACAAACAUGCACAUGAAGAGUCCAAUCACAGGCAUGCAGUAUAUUUUAAAUCUGAAGACAUCAAGAAUAAGUAGAGACAGGCCAAUUUGUCCAUUUGGACACAGUACAAUUUUGAUGUAGGCCCUGAACUUAGACUAGCAUUAUCAGCACCUGGAAUCAAAAUUCCAUUAUCUGAUUUGGCUGUGAAGGACUGUAACAGAUCCAAAGGUUAUAAUCAGGUCAGUUUGUGCCAUGCAUCUAAAA